UACGUAGGGUGCAAGCGUUGUCCGGAAUUAUUGGGCGUAAAGAGCUCGUAGGCGGUCUGUCGCGUCUGCUGUGAAAACUCAGGGCUUAACCCUGAGCUUGCAGUGGGUACGGGCAGACUAGAGUGCGGUAGGGGAGACUGGAAUUCCCGGUGUAGCGGUGAAAUGCGCAGAGAUCGGGAGGAACACCCGUAGCGAAGGCGGCACUCUGGGCCGGUACUGACGCUGAGGAGCGAAAGCGUGGGGAGCAAACGG
rnacentral:rRNA from 1 species